rnacentral:lncRNA from 1 species
GUUCUGUUGUUAGGGAUUUAAUUGUGACGUUAUGACGUGAUAUUCAAUGUAAACAAAGAACGUAACGUUUCCGAUUUUGGUUCUGUUGUUAGGGAUUUUAGUUGUGACGUUAUUUAAGUUAUGACGUCAUAUUCAAUGUAAACAAAGAAACGCUGUCAUCAAGUAACGUUUUUUUUUUUAUAACAAACUAUUUUUAAAAAUGAAUUAGUAUUGAGUUCCUUUCUUAGACUGAUAAAUAUACAUUUUAUUCAAAGUCUCAUGCAAACAAGACCGGAAACGGAAGUAGAUUUCUGCGCAGAUCCGGAAAUUCAAAA